UACAGAGGUCUCAAGCGUUGUUCGGAUUCAUUGGGCGUAAAGGGUGCGUAGGUGGCGCGCUAAGUCAGGUGUGAAAUUUCGGAGCUUAACUCCGAAACUGCAUUUGAUACUGGCGUGCUUGAGGACUGGAGAGGAGACUGGAAUUCACGGUGUAGCAGUGAAAUGCGUAGAUAUCUGGAGGAAUACCGGUGGCGAAGGCGGCAUCCUGGACCAUUACUGACGCUGAGGCGCGAAAGCUAGGGGAGCAAACGGG
rnacentral:rRNA from 1 species